CGCUUUAAAAGGCAAAGCCACCGAGAGGUGGUGACGCAAAACCUCCGGUCCAACUAGUUGGCAUUAGCCAAGUAGCGGAUAGCGGGGCUGCAGGC
rnacentral:ncRNA from 1 species